rnacentral:snRNA from 1 species
AUACUUACCAGGCAGGGGAGAUACCAUGAUCAUGUAGGUGGUUCACCCAGGGCGAGGCUCAGCCAUUGCUCUGAGGCUGACUGAUCUCUGCCAAUGGGGGCUGUGGUCUUGGCAGUAGUGCAAUUUGCGUUAGAAGGUGUUGGCUGAGAGUCUACAAACACUUA